rnacentral:rRNA from 1 species
GAUGAACGCUGGCGGCGUGCUUAAUACAUGCAAGUCGAGCGAACAGACGAGGAGCUUGCUCCACUGACGUUAGCGGCGGAAGGGUGAGUAACACGUGGGUAACCUACCUAUAAGACUGGGCUAACUUCGGGAAACUGAUGCUAAUACCGGAUAAUAUUUCGAACCGCAUGGUUCGAUAGUGAAAGCUGGCUUUGCUAUCCCUUAUAGCUGGCCCUGGGCCGUAUUAGCUAGUUGGUACGGUAACGGCUUACCAAGGCAACGCUACGUAGCCGACCUGAGAGGGUGAUCGGCCGCACUGGAGCUGAGACACGGGCCAGACUCCUACGGGAGGCAGCGGUAGGGAAUCUUCCGCAAUGGGCGAAAGCCUGACGGAGCAACGCCGCGGGAGUGAGGAAGGUCUUCGGAUCGUAGAACACUGUUAUUAGGGAAGAACAAACGUGUAAGGAACUGGGCACGUCUUGACGGUACCUAAACAGAAAGCCACGGCUAACUACGUG